GACGAACGCUGGCGGCGUGCUUAACACAUGCAAGUCGAACGGAAAGGCCCUGCUUUUGUGGGGUGCUCGAGUGGCGAACGGGUGAGUAACACGUGAGUAACCUGCCCUUGACUUUGGGAUAACUUCAGGAAACUGGGGCUAAUACCGGAUAGGAGCUCCUGCUGCAUGGUGGGGGUUGGAAAGUUUCGGCGGUUGGGGAUGGACUCGCGGCUUAUCAGCUUGUUGGUGGGGUAGUGGCUUACCAAGGCUUUGACGGGUAGCCGGCCUGAGAGGGUGACCGGCCACAUUGGGACUGAGAUACGGCCCAGACUCCUACGGGAGGCAGCAGUGGGGAAUAUUGCACAAUGGGCGGAAGCCUGAUGCAGCAACGCCGCGUGCGGGAUGACGGCCUUCGGGUUGUAAACCGCUUUCGCCUGUGACGAAGCGUGAGUGACGGUAAUGGGUAAAGAAGCGCCGGCUAACUACGUGCCAGCAGCCGCGGUGAUACGUAGGGUGCGAGCGUUGUCCGGAUUUAUUGGGCGUAAAGGGCUCGUAGGUGGUUGAUCGCGUCGGAAGUGUAAUCUUGGGGCUUAACCCUGAGCGUGCUUUCGAUACGGGUUGACUUGAGGAAGGUAGGGGAGAAUGGAAUUCCUGGUGGAGCGGUGGAAUGCGCAGAUAUCAGGAGGAACACCAGUGGCGAAGGCGGUUCUCUGGGCCUUUCCUGACGCUGAGGAGCGAAAGCGUGGGGAGCGAACAGGCUUAGAUACCCUGGUAGUCCACGCUGUAAACGGUGGGUACUAGGUGUGGGGUCCAUUCCACGGGUUCCGUGCCGUAGCUAACGCUUUAAGUACCCCGCCUGGGGAGUACGGCCGCAAGGCUAAAACUCAAAGGAAUUGACGGGGCCCCGCACAAGCGGCGGAGCAUGCGGAUUAAUUCGAUGCAACGCGUAGAACCUUACCUGGGUUUGACAUGGAUCGGGAGUGCUCAGAGAUGGGUGUGCCUCUUUUGGGGUCGGUUCACAGGUGGUGCAUGGCUGUCGUCAGCUCGUGUCGUGAGAUGUUGGGUUAAGUCCCGCAACGAGCGCAACCCUUGUUCACUGUUGCCAGCACGUUAUGGUGGGGACUCAGUGGAGACCGCCGGGGUCAACUCGGAGGAAGGUGGGGAUGACGUCAAGUCAUCAUGCCCCUUAUGUCCAGGGCUUCACGCAUGCUACAAUGGCUGGUACAGAGAGUGGCGAGCCUGUGAGGGUGAGCGAAUCUCGGAAAGCCGGUCUCAGUUCGGAUUGGGGUCUGCAACUCGACCUCAUGAAGUCGGAGUCGCUAGUAAUCGCAGAUCAGCAACGCUGCGGUGAGUACGUUCCCGGG
rnacentral:rRNA from 1 species